UAAAGAAGAUAUACAGAGGACAAAUAACACAUGAAAAGAUAUUCAUCAUUAAACAUCAGGGAAAUGCAAAUUAAAACCACAAUAAAAUAUCACUACACAUCUAUCAGAAUGGCUCCAGUUGAAAAUAGAGACAACACCAGGUAUUGGUGAGAAUGCAGAGAAACCAGAUCAUUCAUGCCUUGCUGGUGGGAAUAUAAAAUGAUAAAGCCACUCUCGAAAACAGUUUGGCAGUUUCUUUUAAAAACUAAACAUGUGGAGUAGUCCAGGUUGAAAAUGGCGGCAGUUGGUAUGUCCUGGGUUUCUUGGCUGCUGGGUCGGUCCGGCCCACAGCUGGGGUGGCCUAUGUCGAGUGGCGCCAAUGGCGAAGAGGGAUCAGCUCGCAUGUGGAAGACCCUCACCUUCUUUGUCGCGCUCCCUAGUGUGGCAGUCAGCAUGCUGAAUGUGUACCUGAAGUCACACCACGGAGAGCACGAGAGACCCGAAUUCAUCGCCUACCCUCAUCUCCGCAUCAGGACCAAGCCGUUUCCCUGGGGAGAUGGUAACCAUACUCUAUUCCAUAACCCUCAUGUGAAUCCACCUCCAACUGGCUACGAAGAUGAAUAAAGAGAAUCUGGACCACUACCUGGGCACCAGGGACCACAGCACUGGUUUGGACCAUUACUCUGCACAUGGACCAGAAAAAGUAUACGGGACCUUAAGCUCAUCUUCUUGUAUCAAAUGAUGACUGGUAUACUGGUCUUCCAUCCCUUUGCUUGUGGCAGGAGAUGGCUUAAAUAAAUAACUUAAACUUAAAAA